GGUAUAGCUCAGUUGGUAGAGAGCUUGUCUCCCAAGCACAAGGCCCUGGGUUCAAUCCCCAGCACC
rnacentral:tRNA from 1 species